rnacentral:rRNA from 1 species
UACAGAGGUCUCAAGCGUUGUUCGGAUUCAUUGGGCGUAAAGGGUGCGUAGGCGGCGCGGUAAGUCGGGUGUGAAAUCUCGGAGCUUAACUCCGAAACUGCAUUCGAUACUGCCGUGCUUGAGGACUGGAGAGGAGACUGGAAUUUACGGUGUAGCGGUGAAAUGCGUAGAUAUCGUAAGGAAGACCAGUGGCGAAGGCGGGUCUCUGGACAGUUCCUGACGCUGAGGUGCGAAAGCGUGGGGAGCGAACAGG